GGGGAAUUUUGGACAAUGGGGGCAACCCUGAUCCAGCCAUCCCGCGUGUGCGAUGAAGGCCUUCGGGUUGUAAAGCACUUUUGGCAGGGAAGAAACAGCCUGGGCUAAUAUCCCGGGCGACUGACGGUACCUGCAGAAUAAGCACCGGCUAACUACGUGCCAGCAGCCGCGGUAAUACGUAGGGUGCAAGCGUUAAUCGGAAUUACUGGGCGUAAAGCGUGCGCAGGCGGUUCGGAAAGAAAGGUGUGAAAUCCCAGGGCUUAACCUUGGAACUGCACUUUUAACUACCGGGCUAGAGUACGUCAGAGGGGGGUAGAAUUCCACGUGUAGCAGUGAAAUGCGUAGAGAUGUGGAGGAACACCGAUGGCGAAGGCAGCCCCCUGGGAUGAUACUGACGCUCAUGCACGAAAGCGUGGGGAGCAAACA
rnacentral:rRNA from 1 species